GUUAAUGUGACAUAGUGGUUUGUGCAUUGGAUUAUGACUCUGGAGAACAGGGUUCAAAUCUCAGCUUGGUCA